rnacentral:lncRNA from 1 species
AUGGCUCCUUCCCACCGCAGUGUUCGGCUGCCCUUGCCGGAGCCGGCAGCAUUGGUUUGCGGCAGUAGAUCCGUCGUUUCUCAAACACCCCGGCUUUGGCCAUCCAUUUGGGCUGCCAAAAACCGGGAAGAGAUGAUGUCCAAUGGUAGGGAAGGCUCAGAGGGGGGACGCGGGCCACUCGGCGAGGUUUCGGGUCUCACUCCCAAGGCUGGGUUUCCGUCGCACCCCUCUCCGCUCAAAACAGCGACGGGAACAAAGAGCCUUGGGAUAACGUGGAAAGAAAAUUUAACAAAACGCUCCAGGUCACUCUCCCAGGUUUCUUUUUCUUUGUCCUUUUUUUUCCCCCCCUCUUCCCUCUUCCGAUCCCGUGCCACCAAACCCAGCCUCUGCUCCCGGCUCCUGCUUGGGGGCAGCGCGGGGUUGCAUCCCGUUUGCCCCAAGCGGCUCUUCAGGCCUGGGGUCCCUUUGCACCCAGCAGGGAUUUUGUUUUCUUUCCGUAUUUUUUCCUUCCUGCCAAGCAGCCAUGAAGUGCCAAAGGGCAAAAUUCAGGAAGAAAAAGCUACUCCGAGCCCAUAUCCCACCCGCCGGGGCUGCUCGAGGGCGGUGCAGAUGCUGCAAACCCUGAGCAUGAAAAUUGUCGUCUUCUCCGAGAAAAUGCAGGUCCGGACACGGGAUGGAAAAGCAGAGCGGAUGCGGAUGGAAAAGCAGAGCAGAUGCCCAGGCACGAGGGCGGCUGGGAUUUACGGCUCCGGCAGGGAUGGACGGGGAUGGGAGCAUCGGGGCCAGCAUGGGAGCGAGCCAAGACAGCCCCAUCCCCGCCGCCUCCCCGUCCCAGGGCCACCUCGAGGUGGAAACUUCACAGGCAAUAAUUUUGAGCCCUUUUUCCCCUUUUUCCCAAGCCAAAAAAAAGAAAAAAACCCAAUCUUUUGCAGGAUGCAGAAGUCCACCCGUGGCCUCGCUCCAAAUCCCCCAUCCCAGGGCGAGAUGCCGCCGUCCCCGCGCGAGGCCGGCGAGCCCAGGGGACAGCACGAGCCCCGGCGGCCUUUUGGCUGCGUUCCUGCUAGAUCGAUUAUUAUCGGGAUUAUUUUCGUUUUUCUCCGCUGCAAAUCCAGCAUCGAGGGAUGCCGCCCUCCUUCUCGGCUCAGCCGCGGCUCCGCGACUAUUUUCUUUUUUUUUCAAUUCGAUUUUUUUUUUUACUAUGAGACCGUGUUUGUAACGUGA